rnacentral:pre_miRNA from 1 species
GAUUUCAACUGAAAAAGUAAUCAAUAACAAAGUGGUAUAAAUCAUCAAAAUCUAUUACUUUGAUUUGGGUCAUUUCUUCAUCCAAAAAAGCGAUUUGUAACAUUGUUCACAAAAUAUACAUAUCUCUUAUAUAGUUUAUAAAGUAUAAGAGAGAUAUGUAAAUUUUGUGAACAAUGUUACUAUUACUUUGUCAGAUGAAAAAAUGACCAAAAUAAAAGUUAUAGAUAUUGAUGAGUUAUACAACUUUGUUAUUGAUGACUUUUUCAGUUCAAAUC